rnacentral:tRNA from 2 species
GGCCCCAUCGAAUAAGGGCUAAUUCACCUGUCUUUCAAGCAGGCAAUACGGGUUCGAGUCCCGUUGGGGCUA